rnacentral:rRNA from 1 species
CCUACGGGCGGCAGCAGUGAGGAAUAUUGGUCAAUGGACGAGAGUCUGAACCAGCCAAGUAGCGUGAAGGAUGACUGCCCUAUGGGUUGUAAACUUCUUUUAUAUGGGAAUAAAAAGUUCAACGUGUGGGAUUUUGUAUGUACCAUAUGAAUAAGGAUCGGCUAACUCCGUGCCAGCAGCCGCGGUAAUACGGAGGAUGCGAGCGUUAUCCGGAUUUAGUGGGUUUAAAGGGAGCGUAGGUGGGUUUGUAAGUCAGUUGUGAAAGUUUGCGGCUCAACCGGAAAACUGCAGUUGAAACUGGCAGUCUUGAGUACAGUAGAGGUGGGCGGAAUGCGUGGUGUAGCGGUGAAAUGCUUAGAUAUCACGAAGAACUCCGAUUGCGAAGGCAGUUCACUGGACUGCAACUGACACUGAGGCUCGAAAGUGUGGGUAUCAAACAGGAUUAGAUACCCGGGUAGUC